UGGGGAAUAUUGCACAAUGGGCGCAAGCCUGAUGCAGCCAUGCCGCGUGUGUGAAGAAGGCCUUCGGGUUGUAAAGUACUUUCAGCGGGGAGGAAGGUGUCAAGGUUAAUAACCUUGGCAAUUGACGUUACCGACAGAAGAAGCACCGGCUAACUCCGUGCCAGCAGCCGCGGUAAUACGGAGGGUGCAAGCGUUAAUCGGAAUUACUGGGCGUAAAGCGCACGCAGGCGGUUGAUUGAGUCAGAUGUGAAAUCCCCGGGCUUAACCCGGGAAUUGCAUCUGAUACUGGUCAGCUAGAGUCUUGUAGAGGGGGGUAGAAUUCCAUGUGUAGCGGUGAAAUGCGUAGAGAUGUGGAGGAAUACCGGUGGCGAAGGCGGCCCCCUGGACAAAGACUGACGCUCAGGUGCGAAAGCGUGGGGAGCAAACAGG
rnacentral:rRNA from 1 species